rnacentral:rRNA from 1 species
GCUUGUCUCAAAGAUUAAGCCAUGCAUGUCUAAGUACAAGCCUCAGUAAGGUGAAACCGCGAAUGGCUCAUUAAAUCACACCUAAUCUACUGGAAAGUUACUAGUUACUUGGAUAACUGAGGUAAUUCUUGAGCUAAUACAUGCGAAAAAUCUCGACUCACGGAGAGAUGCUUUUAUUAGAUCAAAACCAAACGGCUUCGGCCGUCUCAUUGGUGACUCUGAAUAACUUUGGGCUGAUCGUAUGGCCUUGUGCCGACGACGUUUCCUUCGAAGGUGUGCCCUAUCAACUUUCGAUGGUACGGUAUUGGCCUACCAUGGUUACCACGGGUAACGGGGAAUUAGGGUUCGGUUCCGGAGAGGGGGCCUGAGAAAUGGCCACCACAUCCAAGGAAGGCAGCAGG